AUUGAACGCUGGCGGCAGGCCUAACACAUGCAAGUCGAGCGGAUGAAGAGAGCUUGCUCUCUGAUUUAGCGGCGGACGGGUGAGUAAUGCCUAGGAAUCUGCCUGGUAGUGGGGGAUAACGUCCGGAAACGGGCGCUAAUACCGCAUACGUCCUACGGGAGAAAGCAGGGGACCUUCGGGCCUUGCGCUAUCAGAUGAGCCUCGGUCGGAUUAGCUAGUUGGUGAGGUAAUGGCUCACCAAGGCGACGAUCCGUAACUGGUCUGAGAGGAUGAUCAGUCACACUGGAACUGAGACACGGUCCAGACUCCUACGGGAGGCAGCAGUGGGGAAUAUUGGACAAUGGGCGAAAGCCUGAUCCAGCCAUGCCGCGUGUGUGAAGAAGGUCUUCGGAUUGUAAAGCACUUUAAGUUGGGAGGAAGGGCAGUAAGUUAAUACCUUGCCGUUUUGACGUUACCGACAGAAUAAGCACCGGCUAACUUCGUGCCAGCCGCCGCCGUAAUAC
rnacentral:rRNA from 1 species